rnacentral:lncRNA from 1 species
UGUGCAUUAACUACCUCAGAUAUACUGCACAGUUCAAAUCUAUUUUUACCUUUAGGGGCGGUUCCUAGAUUUUGAAAGGGGCGUUAUUCUAUCAAAUUAAAAAAAUAUAUCACCGAGUGUAGCGAGACUAAAAACAAUAUUGACGAUUUUAAGGCAAAACACGAUACUUUGUCCACCCCGAAUCCGCCAUCUGCCUUGAAAUUACGACACAAUUGAACUUUGUACAAACAUCGUAGUUUCAAAAUAGGAAAAAAAGAAAGGUUUCUCAUUCUUUUUUUUACAUCUUAGCUU